UCAUUUAUUGAAUUAUACCAAUUAAUUGGUCAAUUAAUCAUAUAAUAAUGUGUAUGAAGAAGCAAGCUGCGGUUCGUAGUAUGUACAAUAAUCCUGGAAGCAUAUUUGGCUUUCUCGAUUGAACAGCUACAGCCACCUAAACCACGUGGCUUGGAAGUUCUUAAUUUUUUAAUUUAAAAUGAGUUAAAGCUACACAUUUCAAUACGAGAUGCUUUAUCCACUUUGAUAAUUGGAAUACGGAAUUAAUCCAUGAUCUGAAGCGUUUCGUGGACUUUGAAUCAGCGUAAAUUCAAAUGGGAGAAUUAGACCAUGAUCUGAAACGUCGUGUGCACUUUGAAUUGGAAAAGCAGAUUUGGAACUGCUUCAUAAUCAAUCCCAGGAAGCCACUCCAGCGGCAAUUGAUUCAGACAUAAUAUUUCAAUAUUUUAAUAUCUAUUUCAAUGGUAU
rnacentral:sRNA from 1 species